AAGUUGUAAUUUUUGUUUAGGCGGAAUCUUCAAUUUUUGUUUUCUAUUUCCCUGUUGUCUCAGCAAACAAACUGUGUAUGGAGAGAAGCAUGCGCAUGAGGAGAUUGAAUCAAAGCAAUGAAACAUUGAAGCCUAUUGAUACAAAAGCAUGAAGAGAGAGUGAAAAAUCAUUCAGGUGUGCUCCAUGAAGAUGGAUGUUUUAGUGGAAUCUUCAAAUUUUGUUUCUGUUCCCAUGUUUUAUCAGCAACCAAACUGUGGAUGGGGAGACGGAUGAGCAUGAGGAGAUUGAAUCAGAGCAAUGAAUGUAUUGGAUGAAUAAAGAAAGAACUGUACUUUUGCCUUUUGUUCCAAAGGUUGAACUGUACUAGUUUUUAGGUAAACAGUGCUCUGCUAUCAGGGUCUUGUUCCAUUUUAUAAUUUUUCUGCAUUUUAGCAUUCUAGGCACAAAUUCAUCAUAAGUUAUAGAUGAUGUUGAGGUUGGAAGUUCGUGGUAGGCAUAUUCCUAGGUUUCAUUGUCUUUGGAUUGUGUAUUUUGUAGAAUUUGUGUGAUUUGGAAAUUCCAAAGGCUGCAACCUCCACUUUGAACAGCAUUGAGUUUCAACGUUUAUAGGGAAUUUGAAAUUAAUGGGAUCCUGUGUUAGAGUGAGAUUAGAAGAAUCGCUAUAUGUGUGGUUAGUCAUGUUCUUUGGAAAAAAUUACCACACUGGUACUGGAAAGGAAAGAGAUUCAUGGAUUUCAACAUUGAACAACAUAAACUUGCACGGUAUUGGUAUACAAAGUUAGUGAUUAUCAUAUUUAAGAGGAUGAUGAAUAUUUUUGUUCUUUUUUAAUUAAAUAAACUUGCACCGUAUUGGAAUUUUAGACUUUGG